rnacentral:lncRNA from 1 species
UUUAGUGACGAUACCCACAAACAUCAUUUUUUUUAAAAAAUAAAUAAAUAAAAAGAACAACAAACUUUAAAUAAAACAUAAAAAUAGCCUCAAAGAUUGCAUAAAUUAUAUAGCUCAAAGAAAAUUUCAAAUAUUGGCAAAGUUCUAAUUUUAAUUCAUUAGUCAAUCCCAUCUCUCUUUUGAUAGUUUUGAAUGACCAAGUCUAUAUUGGCAAACUCUUGAUGGUUUUGAACGACAAGUCUAUAUAUAACCCCCUGGCCAAACAAGAAACCCCGCAAAGCGUACGAGAAAUUCAAGAAACUUAAAAUGGAUUCUAUAGUUGAUGGAGAAAGAGACCAAAGCUUUGCAUAUGCUAAUCAAUUGGCGAUGGGUACAAUGCUACCCAUGGCCAUUCAAGG